rnacentral:rRNA from 1 species
UUGAUAAUUGAAGGGCUGCAGUAUAUUGACUGUACAAAGGUAGCAUAAUCAUUAGUCAUUUAAUUGAUGACUUGUAUGAAGGAUUGGAUGAAAUAUAAACUGUCUCUUAAUUAAAUAUAGAAUUUAAUUUUUUAAUUAAAAAGUUAAAAUAGUUUAAAAAGACGAGAAGACCCUAUAGAGUUUUAUAAAUAAAUUAAUUAAGAUUAUUUAUUAAAUUAAAAUUAAAAUUGAAAUAUUUAUUAUAUUGGGGUGAUAGAAAAAUAUAAUUAACUUUUUUUUAUAAUUAACAUAUAUAAGUGAUUAAAUGAUCCAAUAUUAUUGAUUAUAAGAAAAAAUUACCUUAGGGAUAACAGCGUAAUUUUUUUUUUUAGUUCAUAUAAGAAAAAGAGUUUGCGACCUCGAUGUUGGAUUAAGAUAAAAUUUAAAUGCAGAAG